rnacentral:rRNA from 1 species
GUAGGUGGCAAGCGUUGUCCGGAAUUAUUGGGCGUAAAGCGCGCGCAGGCGGUUCUUUAAGUCUGAUGUGAAAGCCCACGGCUCAACCGUGGAGGGUCAUUGGAAACUGGAGAACCUGAGUACAGAAGAGGAAAGCGGAAUUCCACGUGUAGCGGUGAAAUGCGUAGAGAUGUGGAGGAACACCAGUGGCGAAGGCGGCUUUCUGGUCUGUAACUGACGCUGAGGCGCGAAAGCGUGGGGAGCAAACAGGGAUUAGAUACCCUGGUAGUCCACGCCGUAAACGAUGAGUGCUAAGUGUUAGGGGGUUUCCCGCCCCUUAGUGCUGCAGCUAACGCAUUAAGCACUCCGCCUGGGGAGUACGGCCGCAAGGCUG